AUAAAGUGAAUGACAAGGCAUCCGCCCCACUUCUUACUGACAUAUCAUCAUGAGCCAGUCCCAGCGGACGAUGGCAGGGUUCGAGGCGAUAGCGUCUACAGAGUCUACCGACACUCCGUCUCACGCUGACUACGCCCAGAAGAUAUGUGAGGUUGCGGAGAAAUUGGGGUACCCACAUGAGUACACACGUGUCAUGGAGGUACUUAUGGACGCCAGUGACCCUCGCAACCAGCCCAUAUACCCAGGAGCAAGGAUCACGAUCAUACAAGCUGUUACGCUGCAGCUCCAUUUGUUUGUGACGUCAGGUCCGGGAGGGAGCAGCUCCGUACCAAGCCGAAUGAUGUGGAGGGCCGUGCAUUCGUUAUUGCCAACUCCCAAUAAGAUGCCCAACAGAAUAGCGGUGGCGGAAAAGAUGAUAAAAGAUCUGCUUUCGGACAGUGUCAAUUCUGACUAGAUGACAGCAUAGACGACAGGUGACGAGUUUCUGCUAAGGCUGGUAUGGUGGUGAAUCCUCUAGUGGACUAAGGAAAUGUACUGAAACUAGGGAAAGAUGCGCUCUACAAAUAAGAAUUUACACUCAACAUGCCAUCAAUUGUUUGUAUUACUAAGUGUAGCAUUGUGCAAUCUAUGAUUACUGCAAUAAUCUAUUGAGCUGCUAGUGAACUCUAUUGACUUCUUUAGUGUUGGUUAAAACAAUGACACACAUGGUAGCCUAAGGAUUGAUGUAUGCAUAUAGACCAAAAAGCAUGGACUGUAAAUCUUAAACUAUGGACAUCUAUCCUUAAAAUGGUGGCAAGUGAAACAGCCUGUUUAAGUUCUGUUAUCCAAAUACUUGCUGAAAUUUUAUUACUGUUGCCCUAUACUUGUUAGAACACAAUCCCUCCUAAGGUAGAUAACUUGAACAGACAGCACAGUUCACAGUUCACAGUUUUUAGAGUUACUUUCUUUUCUCUUUGAACAGAAAAAAAUACAAGUGAACACUAGUAUGUAGUAAACCUUACAACUGUUACCCAGUGAUACUGAUAAGUACAAUGUUUGUCAAUAAAAAUAAGCCAACAAUCAAUAAACAUUGUUUUUACAAAGU